AUGGCUGCUCUAUGCUCUUCUUUGGGAAGACUUUGUAGCCUCGAGGAGCUGAGUGUGGAUAUCAAGGGUUGCAUGGAUGGCUUGAUGCCACUGUCUCCUCCCCCCACCCCGUAUUGCCUCGAGAGACUUUUGUUGUCACGGCACUGUCCGUUUUCCAAGGUGCCUGCAUGGAUGGGAGAACUCCGUAACCUUGAUGAGCUACGAUGCCACAUUGAUGUGCUACUAAAUGAUAGUGUUGGUAUCCUUGCGGAGUUGCCCGUCCUCACUCACCUCGAUUUGGUAAUCUGCAAAGCCACUAGUGAAAUGAUUGCCAUAUAUGGGGGAGGAGCAUUCCCUGCUCUAAAGCGCUUCCAUCUCCGGUUAAGGAGCCCUUCAUGCCUGACCUUCCUGGCUGGUGCAAUGCCCAAGCUCUGGGAGCUCCAGCUCAAGUUCAAUGUCCACGGAUGGAAGCAGAAUGGGGCCGCGCCCGCCGGCAUUGACCACUUGUUAGCACUCAAACAAUUGUCUGCACAAAUUGGUUGCGCCGAUGCUCUGCGAUCCGAACAGGCAAGCGCCGUGUCUGCCUUGAGGAGUGCUGUAAACAUGCAUCUAAGCCAACCUCAUCUUGGAAUCCAUCUUUCCAAUUACGACUUCUUUUUUGCCAAUGAAUAA
rnacentral:rRNA from 1 species